UACGGAGGGUGCAAGCGUUAUCCGGAUUCACUGGGUUUAAAGGGUGCGUAGGUGGGUUGGUAAGUCAGUGGUGAAAUCUCCGAGCUUAACUUGGAAACUGCCAUUGAUACUAUCAAUCUUGAAUAUUGUGGAGGUUAGCGGAAUAUGUCAUGUAGCGGUGAAAUGCUUAGAUAUGACAUAGAACACCAAUUGCGAAGGCAGCUGGCUACACAUAUAUUGACACUGAGGCACGAAAGCGUGGGGAUCAAACAGG
rnacentral:rRNA from 1 species